ensembl:lncRNA
CGCGUAACUUCCUCUUUCAGGCCCAAAACACGUAAAACGUGAUACGUGGCUGCUGGCGUCGGCUCAAGGGGGCGGGGAGAGUCCUUUGCCAGCCAACGAGAGGCGGCCUGCGGGGUGUGGAUAAGGGAGUGGGCGCUUCAAGGGGGGCGGAGGUCCUCGGCCUGUUAUCCUUGGAGUUUCUUGUAAACUUUGGUAGGGAAAGAGAGGCGUGGGGAUUACACGGAUGUGGGGAUGUGGGCGCCCACAUCCGAAACGCCUACGCCCCAAUUGCAGAUCCAAUAGGUCUUGAGCUGGGAAUUUCGGUUACCGUUUCUAGGCGCUCGGGAAGCCGCGCAGGCGCACGGGGCACAGAAUGGUCGUGGACACGCAGUACUCCUCGCGUCCUGGCACGUGGUUUAUGAGGGCUGAAUUGAAAUUUUGAACUUCGCUACUGCCUCUGGGGAGCCCAGCACAUCCUACAGCUCACCUGUACCACACCUUCCAAAACAUAGCCAGCUGUUUUAAGUUGCUCACAUUGCAGGAGUACAUCCCUGCACACCUUUUACCAGACCGAAGUCACCAGGAUAGGCAAUUUCCAGGGAACCCAACUAUGCCUGAGA